UAAGUGUAGUCUGUUAAAACAACUGAUU
rnacentral:piRNA from 1 species